CCGGGAGGGGUGCCUGACAGGGGCGCCCUCCUCACGUUCCACAGUCAGCUUGCCCUUCCCUCCAGCUUUCUUUCUGACGCUAGCAGAAGAUUAGGACUCUGGGAGAGAGAGGAGUCCUGGACUCCAAGGACUGGUUAACUUGGAGGCCCCACCCUUCUGUUCAAAGCUAGCCUAACUCGGAGAACUCAGAGUAAAGCUCUUUGAAGGCAAACAUCCUAAAUGUCAGUCCAGUAUCCACGGGGGCGAGAGACAGCAGGUGAGAAACCUGGAAGUGAACCUGAAGAGGCGAAGCUGCAGAACGCCAGCAAACAGAUCGUGCAGAAUGCCAUCCUGCGCGCUGUGCAGCAGGUCUCCCAGGAGAGUCGGCGGAGGGAAGCCAGAGCCAGCGGCACCCAGGGCAGCCCCCAGCGGGGCGUGGGGGAGUUAACCAAGAAGCAUGAGAAGAAGUAACACCGUGGAUUCGGCCCUUGUCACACUGCUUGGUCUUCAGCCUUCCUCUUAGUAUAGGAUGUGUCGCCAAAAUGUUGCCAGUAAAGCAAACCAAAGUGUCAUAGGCACCUAGCAGUAGGAUGAACUUGCACGAGCCCCUCGUUGGGAUGCACUGUUCUGACAAAAGUGCAUUAGACGAUUCUGUUUAAACACAGUGCCUCGGAAACAUAGUCGGGCCAAACACGACACUGUAAUUGCAAAAGUAGUUUUGCAGCACAAUUCCUUUUUAAAAUCUUUUUUUUUUAAAUGAUUCUGUCUUGUUUAUUUAAUUUUGCCUUUUGUGCAUUUUUUCUGUGAAUUUAACCAGCAGUCCUUUUUUGCUGAAACAUUGAGUGCAGUACUGAGAUCUGUAUAAUAUUUUAUAAAGACAUGCUGGAAGGGUGAAGGAAUAUUGUUUGAGUGCCCCUCAAAUAUGGAAUUGAAGGUUUUAAUAAAGUGGGUUCAGGUCCAAGAUCAAAUUAAGCAAAAAGCAAAUCCUAAGACCAAGUCCCUCAGGAUCUUAACAAGGUGUGUAUUUAUAUUACUUUUUUAAAAAGGAGGAAUUUCGCUUUUCCUGUAUUCAGUCUGAAAUCUCUCAGUUGUUUGAUACUCGGUAUUUACUCUCUGUGCAGAAAUCCUUUGGAAAUAUUACGGAUUACUUUUUCCAUCUCAAGAUGAAAAUAAGACAGGUACAUCUAUAUGCAUGAGUUGUCAAUGUUAGCAACCCCUUGAAGAGCAGCAAGAAUUGUAGGUUGCAUCCUGGAGAUACAGUAGUGCCUGAUGAUGGUAUAUGGUGCCUUUGGGAGGAGCUCUUGGAUCUUAUAAAUGCUGUGGGGCCUUCAGGCUAUGCAUCUGCACUAGUACCUUGCUAAUAGGAAAUUUCCUUGUCCCACCCACGAAUUACAUUUUUCUUGAGAUUAUGAAAAUCAUAUGUAUUGGGAAUGAAUGUUGCUUCAAAUGGGAAAAUCAUUCUCUCAACUUUCUGGAACAGCAAAAGACAGUGGGAACAGUCGAGCAACCGUGUUGUGAAUGCAGUUAUGGAAGCGUGUGUGUGAGUGAAUAAAGCCAUCUCCGCAGCAGAAUGACUUCUGCUUCACCCCCAUGGGGGUAACACAUAGUUUUCUAUGUCCUUAGCAUCCCAUUUCCUGGGCUUUGCAGCAGUUAUUGAGUUGGAGCUAUUGGGAACAGAGGGAGAAUUUGGCCUUUGUUAGAGAUCUUUUGGCUUCGGGGUGUCAGUGUCUACAUUUGAUAGUUUUUUUAAAAAGCAAAGUAUCAGCAUCUAAAGGGUGACAGAUAUGAAGAUCUGCUUCUAAAAUUCCAACAUGUUACACUUUCCAGAAGGGAUAUUAUUGAGAAAUGGAUGAACACAGUCUCUUAUUAGUUCUCUUAGACCAUCUCACACCAUGCACAGAUGGAAUAAGUUCACAGGGAGGAUGUCUGUGGGAGGGAGCAGAGGGGUAAACAUUUAAAUGUGGUUUAUUCAUAAUUUUCUCUGAAUAGUUCUCAUGACAAUUGAAGAAUGAGUUCAAGGUGACCUGAAGUCAUAUAACUGAGUAGAACUAUACCGCAUAGUUAAUAGGAAUAAAAUAUUAGGGGAAAUUAUUCAAGAGUAUACGCACACAGACACACACACACACACACACACACACACACACACACAAAUAAACCCACUGCUUGUAGUUUGCAAAUGAUCUGACACUCUGUCUGCUAGGAUAUCUGAGUAGAAUCAGCCUUGGACUUGGUUGUCAUAUGGCAGAAACACAUAAACACACUCUCUUUCCUCUCUGGUGUGUCUGUGUUAAUACCUUGGGGAUCUUUGAGAAUAUCUGAUUAACCUCUGUAUCUAAAUGUUGUUUAUAAAUAAAACAUAUCCAGCUU
rnacentral:lncRNA from 1 species